GAUGAACGCUGGCGGCGUGCCUAAUACAUGCAAGUCGAGCGAACAGACGAGGAGCUUGCUCCUCGGACGUUAGCGGCGGACGGGUGAGUAACACGUGGAUAACCUACCUAUAAGACUGGGAUAACUUCGGGAAACCGGAGCUAAUACCGGAUAAUAUAUUGAACCGCAUGGUUCAAUAGUGAAAGACGGUUUUGCUGUCACUUAUAGAUGGAUCCGCGCCGCAUUAGCUAGUUGGUAAGGUAACGGCUUACCAAGGCAACGAUGCGUAGCCGACCUGAGAGGGGGAUCGGCCACACUGGAACUGAGACACGGUCCAGACUCCUACGGGAGGCAGCAGUAGGGAAUCUUCCGCAAUGGGCGAAAGCUUGACGGAGCAACGCCGCGUGAGUGAUGAAGGUCUUCGGAUCGUAAAACUCUGUUAUUAGGGAAGAACAAAUGUGUAAGUAACUAUGCACGUCUUGACGGUACCUAAUCAGAAAGCCACGGCUAACUACGUG
rnacentral:rRNA from 1 species